ACAAUAAAAGAAUAAAACAGUUAAAAUAAAUCACUCUGUGUGUUUAAUACAUCUACAUAAUAUAUGAGUUUCACAUUUUGAAUUGAACUUCUGAAAUAAAGUAACUGGAUUACAACCUCAAAUCAGUAAAAGUUGGGAAAAGAUGGCAAAUGCAAACGAAACACACAUUUACAUCUUACAUUUACUUUAAUUGACUUUUUAAUUUAAUUGCAGACAGGAUGAACCCUAUAUAUUAGCUAGUUUUGUCUGUUGAGCUUAAUUUAAAGUAUUAAUAUACAUCCAUUCCUCAUGUUUAGGUCUGCAUAUCCAAAAUGUUAGGUUGGUACAGUCCUUCACCCAUAUACUCUUGUCUUUCACAGCCAGCAUGUGGUUUUUCAUUGUCUUGUUGAAAACUUCAAAUGUAAGAAAUAUAAAAGCGAAUGUAAGAAAUGUUGAGUUUUAUGUGCAUUUUUUGCUUCAACCAUUUUUGAUUCGGGAUUGCAUUUUGACAUAUUAUUAAUGCAUGUAUAGAAAUGAAUGAAUUCUAAAGCAGACUCUAUUAUGCUGGUAAUGCUAUUUUGUUCUUCUGUAUGUCUGCUGUUUUUCAGCUUUAGGCGAUUUGCCGGAUAUUUUAGUCUCAGUAUGCAGCGCAGAAGAUGAAGAGCUGUUCGUAGAGAAGACGCAGAAGGAUUACUCAAGAGAAAAGCUUCAGCUGGUAUAUGAGGAAAUAUAUAAACGAGGACUGUCUCCUAUUCAUGAAGUUUCCACAACAGAUAUCUCUUCGGAAAAAAAUGACGAAGAAAACCGGCCUGAUGACAUUAUAACAGAAGGAGGGUCUGAGGAGUCUGUGGAUUUUCCUCUGUUGCUAGUGCACACACAGUCCUUACCUUGCCUGCACCACAGAAGCCACCCCUCUAACAAAGAUGAAGAGGAAUCAACGUAAACAUGUAUAAAGGAUGGAGAACUUUUUUUUUUUUAAAUCAAAAACUGUGAAAGUAAUUCUGCGUCACAUUUGACCUUAGAUGUUCGAAGUUCUUAGUUUCAAGUAGGAAAGGGAAACUGAAACGCCACCACACGCCAGGUUGCCAACUCAGAAAGUCACGAGAGCUUCACCAGCCCCAGGACUACUGCGGCUCUUUACAUCAACAGUAGAAAAAGUAGAUGCUAUGAUGAACCUUUAAGAAAAAGUUGAAGUACCUUUUCUUCUCAAAACAUCUUCAUGAAGGUUCCUCAACGCAACAAAGUUUCAAAUUGAAGAACUCAGAACUUAAAGUUCCUCAAAGACCUUAUAAACAGCAUUGGGGCGCUUCACUGUGGGCACCAUUUACCUGGGGAAUGACAUCACCAGCAUGGGCUAAUGGAAGAAGAUUGGUGGAGUCGGUGGAGGUAGUGUUGUGCUGGGGAAAACAAGUCUGUCCUUUUUUUUGCAUGGGCAUCUAGGUAGCAGAUACACCAGUUCCUGACAAUGGGAUACGCCAAUGAUCAUGGGCUCCUUCAAUAGAUUAAUACUAGUUGGCAACCAUCAUCAAAUACAGUAUUUCUUCUUGUAAUUUGGUGAUUGUCUUGAUCACAAUAAGCCUGAGACACCCUUCACAUGUACCAAACAUGAUCUGCUUCCUUUGUGAACGGACACACAGGGGUUGGACAAUGAAACUGAAACACCUGUCAUUUUAGUGUGGGAGGAUUAAUGACUAAAUUGGAGCAGCCUGGUGGCCAAUCUUCAUUAAUUGCACAUUGCACCAGUAAGAGCUGUAAGAGUGUGAAGGAUCAAUUAGCAGGGUAAGAGCACAGUUUCAAAAGAGGACAAAUUGUCGGCGUAUGUCUUGCUGGCGCACCUGUGACCAAGACCGCUAGUCUUUGUGAUGUAUCAAGAGCCACGGUAUCCCGGGU
ensembl:lncRNA